AAAAAAACCAAAGAGCUCCAUCUCAGGCUCUACAGGUCUCAGUUAGCACGAUUAAUGUUAAUGUUCAUGACAUUAUUAUUAGAAAAAAAACUGAAAAAGUAUGGCUUGUUAGAAAGGGUUAAGGGAAAAAACUCUUCUGUCUAGAGCAGGGGUGGGCAAUUCCAGGCUUCGAGGGCCAGUGUCCUGCAGGUUUUAGAUCGCACCUUGGGUUAACACACCUGAAUCACAUGAUUAGUUCAUUACCAGGCCUCUGGAGAACUUCAGGACAUGUCGAGGAGCUAAUUUAGCCAUUUAAAUCAGCUGUGUUGGUUCAAGGACGCACCUAAAACCUGCAGGGACACUAGCCCUCGAGGCCUGCUCACCCCUGGUCUAGAAUGAACAUGGCAGCAGAUCUGAACAAAACCAGAACACAAGCAACGAGGAAUAUCCCAAAAUUUCUCCACAGCUAUGUGAGAAACUGAUAAGAUACAGAAGACGGAUAGAUAGAUCCCUCGGGUAGGUUCCUCCAGGAAAAUGUCUGUUGCACAGUAUUUUGACUAUUGUCAGUCUAUUGCACAGUGAUUAGUUCUUAAGAUGAAUAGUCCAAUAUCUUUAUUUACAUUAUGAACGGGCAUUAUAAGGUGUUAUAGAUAAAAUUUUAAAUUUUUAAAAAUGACCUGCUUUGCAAGCAUCCUUAUAACUGUGCAUUAUUGUAUGUAGUCUGUUUCACAUUAUAAUCAAUCCAGUCCUUUUGGCCACUUAAAUGUCUUGAUAUUAGUGUUAUAUUAUAUUUCUUGCAGUUUUUUAUACCAGAUUUUUGAUGUCAAUGAGACAUUUUGCCCACAUAAACAAAAGAUAUAUAAAAGUGACUUUGCCAAAGAGUGGCUGCAACUUCUACAUGCUGGCAGGUCUUUUCUUACUCGCUUACAUAAUGGCUUUUGAUCAUUCAUUAGAGACACAUUUGAUAGAUGAUAGGUCCACAAAAGUUUAAUAUCAGAAAUCACUUUUUGGCAGAUGAUCACCAUUUUCACCGUGGCGCUGCUAAAGUUGUUUCACAAACUUAAUGGUGCUGUGUAAUUUAUAACAGCUGGUUAUUUUAUAUAUUUUUUUAAAUAUUAAUUAUAAAAUUAACUCAUACCUGGAGCUCAAUUUAAUCCCCUAAGUUAGUAGUACCUCAAUAAGAGUAAGACAUAAGACGUAAGAGUAAGAACUGAACAUAUUAAAUACUCUAAAUGUUAAUUUUAAUCCUUUUGGUUUCAGUGAUUUAAUGCCCAAGAAAGUAAGGUUACACCCAAACUGAUUCCUGUUAAUUACGUAUUACUUUAAUUAAUUAAAUAUUACUUAUUGUUUAAUACUUUUAGCUAAUUAACUAAACAAAGUCUAGCUAACUUAGCUAGCUAACUUAGCUAGCUAACUUUAGCUGGCUACACUUUGAUGUUAGCUUGUUAUAUUCUGACCGGGACUGACCUCUCUAACCCGGUUAUGAGUAACACACAGUGAUGUUAAAAAGUACUGGUUACCUUCACUGUUCACCCCGUUGCUUUAUCGGAGCACUGCUGCCUGUUUGUUAGCACUAGCGGUACGUUUAAGGCUAACUUCGGUGCACAGGUGUAGUUAGCUUAAUAAAAGUAUUUCCUGGGUUUGCCUUGCAUUCAUAAAACUUUGGCGCCCGCCAACCUUGAGAAACAACGUCAGCUCCUGUCUGAUGUUCCCUUUGAAAACUGUCCGAAAUAUACAAUAAAAAGGCGAAAAAAUAAUUUACAAAUUCUUCCCCGAAGUCACUGGUCACAUCAUUAGGAACACAUUGUUAUUUGGCUCAUGACUGAGGUUAUAUAUGAAAUGUGAUAGACUUGCAUUCACUUUACAUAUAAGGUACAUCUGGGGUGCUGACCAUUUUCAGUCUCCCAAAUGAAAUGUUCUUAAAUCAUUUUUUUUCCGAUUUUAAUUUAUUAAAUGAGAAAACAAAACAAAAUUAAUUUUUGUCUCGAUGACACCCCACAAAGAUUUUGAGCCAGAAAUACACCUGGUUUUAAUAAAUAUCCCAUUUAAAAAUAUUAACUGGGACAGAAAGAAGGCAGGAAAACUGGGAGAAAAAUUGCAGUAAAUGGUCCCAUAUUCAGUCCUCUGCAACAACCUUAUGGCACAUGGUUUACCUGUUCAGCCAGGUAGGCUAUGCUAGGAAUUUCUUUUUUUAAUACAGUUUUAAGAAAUGAUAUGAAGUAACUGCCCUUGUGGCCUAACCCUGGCCACAAAGGUCAAUCAUUUCUUAGCUGACAUACGUUUUAUUUAGGUGUGGUGUUUAUACUUGUAACUGUGUAUUUAUUAUGCCUGUGUUAAACAAUUUCAUAUUUUUUGACAGAUUUUUUUUUUUUAUGGGAGUGUGAACAUAUAGGAUUAGGUUGCUACGAUAAGAAUUUAUAGCUGACACUGGGUUAUUUCUGAGUAAAGUAUACUGGUGAGGACGGAGUGCAGCUCAAACUAUCGCAUCACACUGGGGUAUGCACACUGAUCAAAGCUUUUUAAUUUCUGAAUCUUUGGAAACAAGACCAAUUCCUGUCAAAAUCUUCUUUCUUCUAAAACAUGUCUGACAACAUACAAACAAAAAGGAGAAGAACAGAUCCACAAACUAUCCUCUGUGACAUGUGUGCAGAGGACAGGAAACCAGCAAAGAAGACGUGCAUGAAGUGUGAGAUCUCCAUAACCAGACAGCACCAGAGGGAUGAAAUAAUAACUAUGGAGAUGAGCCUGAACAACAAGGAACUGACUCCAUUUGUACGACUGGGAAAGGAAAAUGUCCAAAACACGACCCAGAAGCAAGAAUGGAAGUGCUCAUGUGGGAAAGCUUACUACAGGGAUGGUAAUGGAUACAGAAAUAAUAUGUCCUGCUUUUCUUCCCAGGCUAAUUGUUCUUGUGGAAAAAUGAUUGGUGGUUCAUGUGUCACAGAAAUGGUUUGUAAACUCUGUUAGUUCAAACUCUGCUGAUCAUUUAGUCAUUUUCUGUCCCUGUAUGAAUAUCAAUGUAACUGACUGUCUUUCACAUUCAUAAACUGUGAAGACAUUGUGCUGCUUCAGUGAUUAACUUGUUGUGCGAUGUAUCACAUAUGAAAGUAAUGUAAAUUAAAAAAGUAAAACAAUUUUGUUUUUUUUGUUAAUUAAAAUAUUCUUAGCUCCAGUGUUUGCUUUAAAUGUAGCAACAAAUUCUUUUAGUUUGAACCGUUUCUACUUUAUUUCACCUGCAAGUUGAAGACGUGUGUCUCCAUCUGCUGGUGGUGCUCUCACAUUGUUCACACAGCUCUUCGGUCUUAUUAUCGACAACAAAGAAACAGCUGUUGUUUUAUACAAUGUAAAUGAUCUGAUAAAUAAUAAAGUGAGUAUACUUUUAAU
ensembl:lncRNA